AUGUGUGUGCAUGCAUGGGUGUGUGUGAACAAGAUCGCACACGUGUGUGUUGCCGGGAAUGGAUAUUACUUAAGACUGCUCCUGGGGCCGGCACCAUGGCUCACUUGGUUAAUCCUCUGCCUGUGGCACCGGCAUCCCAUAUGGGCGCCGGUUCUAGUCCAAGUUGCUCCUCUUCCACUGCAGCUCUCCACUGUGGCCUGGGAAGGCAGUGGAGGAUGGCCCAGCUGCUUGGGCCCCUGUACCCGCGUGGGAGACCAGGAAGAAGCACCUGGCUCCUGGCUUCAGAUCGGCGCAGUGCUGGCCGUGGCAACCACUUGGGGAGUGAACCAAUGGAAGGAAGACCUUUCUCUCUGUCUUUCUCUCUCACUGUCUAUAACUCUACCUGUUAAAUUAAAAAAGAAAGAAAGAAAGAAAGAAAGAAAGAAAGAAAGAAAGAAAGAAAGAAAGAAAGAAAGAAAGAAAGAAAGAAAGAACGGACUGCUCCUUUGCAAGCAGACAGAACCGAGCCCUGGAAUGUUGGACAUAAACGAAGAGGCCACCUUGCUGCCUGGGAGGCAAGAGGCCACCUUGCUGCCUGGGAAUGGCCUCCCGGGGACCAGGAAGGACACCAAGAGACAGAAAAGACCUGCAAGGGCGGGAGACCCCCCAGCAGAGAGAACCCUGCAGUGGGGGCGGCCUCCUCUAGCCCCAGCCUCCCCGGUUCCAGGAGGCCCCAGCAGCUGGGCCACACCCCAGGGACCGCCCGGGCCCCUCUCACCCGUAACCAUCCUCCUGUCCUCCUGGCUCCGCCUUCCCUCCAGCAGACCCCCAGACUCCUCAGCGGAGUCAGCCACCCCCUCCACGGCCAGGCCCCCGCCCUGCUCUCCUCCUGCCGGCUCCCCGGCGCCAGACCCAGAUCCACACUUCAGCCAGAUCAAACCCCUCUCCCACCUGCACCUCUGUCCAGCCCUCCUCACUCCCACGCGUUGCCCUCCCCCAUCCUGUCUGCACCAAGUGUCCAUCUUGCCCCGCUUGCCCCGCCCCUUUCUCCUGCACCCCCACGAUGUCGCCCUGUGCGCCCACAUACACUUGGGACCGUCACACGCGUGCGUGCUGCAGAAGGCGUAA
rnacentral:lncRNA from 1 species